GUUUGAUCCUGGUCAGAACGAACGCUGGCGGCGUGGAUAGACAUGCAAGUCGAACGCUUAUCACCAGGCAGCAAUGUUUGGUGGUAGGAGUGGCGGGGUGCGUAACACGUGGGUAAUCUGCCGUGAAGUUGGGGAUAACUCGCUGCUAAUACCGAAUGUGACAAUUGGGAGGCAUCUUCUAAUUGUUAAAGUUGGGGACCGCAAGGCCUAACGCUUCAUGAUGAGCCCGCGGCCUAUCAGCUAGUUGGUGAGGUAAAAGCUUACCAAGGCUAAGACGGGUAGCUGGUCUGAGAGGACGACCAGUCACACUGGAACUGAGACACGGUCCAGACACCUACGGGUGGCUCGAGAAUUUUUCACAAUGGGCGCAAGCCUGAUGGAGCGACGCCGCGUGGGGGAUUCGGCUCGUAAACCCCUGUCAUUUGCGAACAAACCUUCUGGUUUAAUAAGCCAGAAGCUGAUUGUAGCAGAAGAGGAAGGGACGGCUAACUCUGUGCCAGCAGCCGCGGUAAUACAAGGUCCCAAGCGUUGUUCGGAUUCACUGGGCGUAAAGGGUGCGUAGGUGGCGGGGUAAGUCUGAUGUGAAAUCUCCGAGCUCAACUCGGAAAUGGCAUUACUAUUCUGCUAGAGGAUUGGAGGGGGGACUGAUUCUCGGUGUAGCAGUGAAAUGCGUAGAUAUCGAGAGGAACACCAGUGGCGAAGGCGAGUCYCUGGACAAUUCCUGACGCUGAGGCACGAAAGCUAGGGGAGCAAACAGGAUUAGAUACCCUGGUAGUCCUAGCUGUAAACGGUGCGCAUUGCUGUGGGCGGAAUCGACCCCGUCCGUGGCGAAGCAAACGCGAUAAAUGCGCCGCCUGGGGAGUACGGUCGCAAGAUUAAAACUCAAAAAUUGACGGGGGCCUGCACAAGCGGUGGAGUAUGUGAAUUCGAUGCAACGCGAAGAAYCUUACCUGGUCUUGACAUGUAGGUGGUAAAAGCCUGAAAGGGUGAUGACCCCGCAAGGGGAGCUUACACAGGUGCUGCAUGGCUGUCGUCAGCUCGUGUCGUGAGAUGUUGGGUUAAGUCCCGCAACCGCAACCCCUGUGUCCUGUUGCCACCCCUGCGAGAGCAGGGAGCACUCUGGACAGCUGCCUCGCUUAAACGAGGAGGAAGGUGGGGAUGACGUCAAGUCAGUAUGGCCCUUACGACCAGGGCUGCACACGUACUACAAUGCCCGGUACAGAGGGAAGCAAGACCGCAAGGUGGAGCAAAUCCCAGAAAACCGGGCCCAGUUCGGAUUGUCGGCUGCAACUCGCCGGCAUGAAGCUGGAAUCGCUAGUAAUGGCGCAUCAGCUACGGCGCCGUGAAUACGUUCCCAGGCCUUGUACACCCGCCCGUCACAUCAGAAAGCCGGUUGUACCCGAAGUCAGUUAACCGCAAGGAGACAGGUGCCGAAGGUAUGGCUGGUGAUUGGGAUGAAGUCGUAACAAGGUA
rnacentral:rRNA from 1 species